GUAAUCGGUUUUUGAAAAAUUGAGAGUUAAUGGUACUUAGCUCUGUUGUUAGUCAAGAAUUCCCCAAGCAUCUUUCUCCGAAAGACUCUGAAAAAGGGGACACGCAAUAAACAGUAUAGUUCUUGGUAGUGGUAUCAUCAACCCAGUCCAUAAUUUGCCAACGAUUUUUCAAAUACUGUUUCAAAUGAAGGUAUGAAGAAGGCACGUGGUCAUAUGUGCUAUGUUGUUUGAGGAGAUCCUGUGAAAUUCUGAUAAUCCAAGCUAGCUUUCCUUCUCAGUUUCUGGGCCCACCACUAUUAAUAGGUUCUUUGGGUGGUGAUACUCCUUAGAAUUUUCUUCUUUUCUUUCUUUCUCUUUCCUUUCCUUCUUUUCAUUUUUCCUUCAUUCCCUC
rnacentral:lncRNA from 10 species